rnacentral:rRNA from 1 species
GACGAACGCUGGCGGCGUGCUUAAUACAUGCAAGUCGAACGGAAAGGCCCUGCUCUUGCGGGGUGCUCGAGUGGCGAACGGGUGAGUAACACGCGAGUAACCUGCCCCUGACUUUGGGAUAACUCUAGGAAAAUGGGGCUAAUACAGGAUAGGAGCUCCUGCUGCAUGGUGGGGGUUGGAAAGUUUCGGCGGUUGGGGAUAGACUAGCGGCUUAUCAGCUUGUUGGUGGGGUAGUGGCUUACCAAGGCUUUGACGGGUAGCCGGCCUGAGAGGGGGGCCGGCCACAUGAGGACUGAGGUACGGCCCAGACUCCUACGGGAGGCAGCAGUGGGGAAUAUUGCACAAUGGGCGGAAGCCUGAUGCAGCGACGCCGCGUGCGGGAUGACGGCCUUCGAGUUGUAAACCGCUUUCGCCUGUGACGAAGCGUGAGUGACGGUAAUGGGUAAAGAAGCACCGGCUAACUACGUG